CCAGUUAAUGAUUGCUUACUAUAUUUCCAUGCUUGGACUUAUAGCAUGUAAUCAACUUAUUCAGUUUCGUAUGCUGUUUUGCCCUGUUGACUGCUCCAAGAGAAUCUGAGCGAUUGCACUUGGAAGUUUGCUUGUUAUUGCCAUUGAAUGCACUUGGUAUGACAACUAUUAAUGAGCAAUUUAAGUUUUGCUAUGACAAAUAUUUAGUAGCAAUUUAACUUUCUAGACAGGUGUUAAUGGGCAUAUGCCUACUCCUUUUCUACAUUGGUACAACUACACUACUGACAGUACUGCUGGCGCUGGUGCUUCAUCUUUCUCUGCUAAUAUUUCCCUGAAAUACAUCAAAUAUUAGUGUUUUUAUUAAAAUUAAUUAGAUGGAAUUCAUGCAUAAGAGAAAAUUUAUUCUUUUUUUAAUGAUAUGAUAAUAAGUUCUCAACGUUUUAUCUGAUUAUUUCUGUGUGCUCCCUGGAAUGGUACAAAUUGAGCACAAGCAUUAUUUCUUCCGUGUAUGUGUUUUUAUUGCGGUAUAUUACUGUUAGCACUGCAGGCAACUAUUGCAUACUGUUCAUUUCGCAACACACGACGGUACAAGCCGCGACGGCAGCGGUCUUUCAGCAUGCCGCGAUGUACAAACUGCUCGAGCGCACAAUCGUAAGCGCUGCGAUGGUAGCGGUCUUUCGACAUGCUGCAAAACGGUGGGCCUCCUGCAAUCUUUGUUGACUGCAUGUGCUAUACAAGUAGUUAUGCCUGCAAUGUAGUAGCGGCGAUCUGUCCCUUUAGCAACUGACAAAUAACUGAUGAGCUCGCAGUAACGUAUGCGCAAACCACGCUGCAGCACGAGCUCGUGCACUGCUCGCUUGAUGAAGCUUUUAAUGACAGCGCUCGAACAUCGAUGUGCUGCAAUCAAUACUACCUUACUGCGCUGCCUCAACGUGCUGGCUUGAGGUCAAGGAUGAGCACAUUUAACUAUCUAACCUGUGCUGCUCGUAGUGUGGUAGCGAAUUGCCACCGAAUCAGCCCAACCAUUUGUGGUCAUUUUGCACACACCUGGUCACUUCACCACUUCGCACUAGUCGAAUUGUUAAUUGCCACUGUGGCCAGGUCUCGAAUCGUGAAUCACGUGCCAUGCCUGCUGCUAUGUUGGUCUGCUGUCGGGACUGUAGGUGCAAAAGACCGAAUUUUAGAACGCAGAUAAUCAAGCAAGCUUCGAGACAGGCGAAGCAGUCAGCAUGGCACGAAGUUUCGUUUAUCCAGCGCGACGAACUGCAGCUAUCCAGCGCGCCCGACGCUCCGUUUCGCGAGGCCUAGAAGGAAAACGGUAGAAUCUGUAUUGGGAUUCAGGCCUUUUUGUUCAUGGGAGCCCACGACGCAGAAGUAACGAUGGUGACGCUUUUUCAAGGCUGAGCUAGGUCUCUCCGGAUCGGUGUCGCCGAUUCCUUGUGCUUCCAGCAUUACGUCUCACGGAGAGUCCGUUUUCGUUAAACUAUAGGCUUUGGCUAGCUCGCAGCGUGGUCGGUGAGGUCUGUGAGAAGUGACGAGCCUUUUCGCACUCACAACAGGGCAAAAAAAAGUGCGAAUCAACGCAAAACUCGGGCUAGAAACGUGCUUCGCCACAGCCAGGGCUCAAUACGACCCAAGCUGGUACGACCCAGAUGUCGUUUCCCGCGCCGCCACCAGGCGCCGCUACUAUACCUCAAACUCCAGCGCAAGAUGCCCAUAGACUGAGCAUAUCUAUGUAAAUUCAUAAACAACUAUUCUAGUAUUUUCUUGCAGGUUCGUGUCCGUACCAUUUAAUAAAAGGAGUAAGAAUCCCAUAUCAUUAACAUUUUAUUAGCUGAUGCACUGAUGCCAUAAUGUUGAAGUUUGUGCUGGCACUAGUAAUAUUCUGGUGAAUAAAGACUUAUGAGACAACCAUAAACACUUCAUUUAAAGCUUCUGUUGCAGCCUGCAAGUCCACAGGAAUGCUUUCCUUACCACUAGGCAGCCAAUAAAAGGGACACACAAACAAGGAUUUACCAUUUUAACACGAAUCUGAACCUAUACAGCUUCAUAAGAACCUGACAUCAACUUGAACAUUAUUUUUGUGUGCUCCCUGGAAUGGAAAAGUGUGCAAGGUUCUGGCUGAAAAUGGAGCCUAGUAGAGAUUUUUGAUAAUUUCUAUAUGCAGUUUAAUAAAGAAUAUUUAAAAUCAGCCAAGAAAAUCCUUUUCUUCUAACUGUAUCAUCUAAGUAAAACAUUUAAUCAUACAUGUAGUUAUCAAGAGCAUUCAUAAUUGGUAUCUUUAAACAAUACAAUGACUGCAAGACACGUGCAUCCUCGGAAUUCUUGUACAUGUGCACACAAAAUUUGGCUUCGAUUGGGCCUUGCUAACUACAAACAUCUUUUGUUCACAAGUACUCAUAAAAACAAUGAAUGAUUGAAGCAACAAAGAUUGAAAAGAAAGAUGAAAAUGAAGGUGAAAGCUCAUAAACUUGGUAUUACUGUUGCAUAUUAUUUAUUGCAUGAAAUUUGCCGAGAACGCAGAACAGUCUUUUGCAGUUUAACAUUUUCCUGCUGUGUCGGUGGAUCUGAUAACUCUUGUGAGCUUCGCUCUUCAAGCGGGCUUUCUUUGCUGUACUUUGAUGAAAGCAUUUAGCAAUAACAUGCAUUCCACCAAAUUAUUUGGUUCUUGUCUCUUUGGUUUCCCAGAGCUAAUAGUUGCCGAGUUGGCAUGAUUACCAACUCCUGUAGAACCUCCUGAAAACUUCAGUUGUACAACAGUAUGGCUUUAGAAGUGACUGUCUCCACAGCAUGAAGGCAAUUGCUGGUGGUUGAAAUUAUUUGUCGUGUUUUGGAGCUUGUGCAGUAUACAACAAAGCACCACAUUGUUGCUCAUCAUCCUCUCGUAUGUAAGAAGCACAGCCUUUGCUUAAGCACUGGUGAAAAGUGAAGAAUCCGCUGGUGUCGACUCAGCCAGUGCCAGUGCUAGUUUGUUGUUGAACCAGGAAAGCUUGUGAUGUCGCCAAUAUAUCUGUGGUUGUUGCGAACCUCAUUUGUAGGGCAUGAAUGGAAAUAUGAAGCUCCUACAGCUGCGAUGCCCCCAUUAGAUUCAUUUUUCGCAAUAUUCUUGCUGGGGAAAUGUCUUAGCAUUCUUGCAUGUAGAAAUACGAUGUUGAAGCGUAAAUAUAGAAUAAAAAUCUACAAACAUUAUUUUUUUAAACAAAAAUAGUUUUUUGACUUGCACCUCUCCUUAAUCAGCUAAGUCACACAAUGAGAUAGACGAUGGAGUUCCAGACGAACACCUCGCACAGUCUACAUUAAGCUGUACAAUGCCUCCCAUCUUGUACUUUUUGAGGGGUAACAGGGCAAUAGCAUACUGUGGCAGAUGAUUAGUUGCAUUCUCCAGAAUUUACUGAUCGCGGUACUUGCACUGAACUAAGCCAGGUGAUGCAAGCAAUGCAAGAAGAGAUGUUGAACUUAGCUUCUGUGCGAGGUUAGCAUAAUUUAUUUCUUCAGUUUACCUCAUUUAUGAAUGCAUCUGUUAACGUCAUUGACAUUGUUUGUGCUUAGCAAUACAAAAUGUCUCGUGUUGAAACAGCUCAAGUUAUGAAAAUGUACAUGAACAGUAUUGCAGCAUCUUGCCAUUGAGCUUGGUUGUGCGUUUAGAUUUGGGGUGUGUACAGUGCAAGUAGAAACCAGUUUCAGAAAAACGCUGGGACAGGUUAGCAUGUGUUGCAUACAGAAAUUACUUUGCUAUGUGUUAUAUAGUAAAUAGCUCAGAAAACAUCUAUUUAACCACCAUAUUAAACCAUGAACUAGUUGUAAUUAUGCAGCUCACAACUGCAUUGUGUGUUGUAAUGUUUCUUGGCCUGGUAACUAUGCCUGAGCUUCUCUUCAUUGUUGAUAACACUUUGCUGUCCUCUUUCUCUCGCUAGGUGUAUGUCACUGAUGGAUGAAGAGCGUCAUGUUGUGGCCCCUACCAUCUACCAUCUUGAUAAUAUGCAAUGUUACUUUUUAUUCGUGGCUGUACAUUGUAAACCUUCCUGCUUCUUUGUGACUGGUCCCUCCAGUAUUGUUACUGAUCUACACAAUAUGAUCAAUAUUUUUCUGCUACGCUCACAUAUUUUUUUCCUGUAUGUUCUUCCUUGGCGCUUUCUUUGGUUAUUAUACUGUUUCAGCCUUUUCAUUAUGUUUGCAUGUAAGCAUUUCUUUUAAUAGUAUUCACUGUUUAAUGUUGAUUACAAAUUCUGUUUGGUCAAUUUGCCUCAGUUUAAAAGUUGCAGUGUUUGUUGAAUGCAUGUGCAUUUUCAAUUUUUGGUGAUGUUUUAAUUCUUGCACUUGUAAGAUGUAAUCUUUCGGCACCUUUAGCAUUUGAUUGUGUCUUGUGCUCCAAGGCAAGUUGAGUGAUAGCACUUGCAAGUUCACUUAUUACAGGCAAUAGGUCUUAAUUACACCACUGUUUGAAGAAACAAACUCACUGAACUUGGCUGCCGUAACUCGAAACUAAGCAAUCACACAUAACGUAUUUCCCAGUCGAUAAGUUGUUUUUCUUUUGGAAAUUUUCGUUGGUGUGUCUUAUUUACCGGUGCAAGUUGUAUAUGGCACUUUCCUGUUUCUUUCCUUUUUUUUUUUGAAGUAAACAGUUGUCAAAAUUGUAUUGGAUGCUAUGGCCUCCAGUGACUCACUGGGUUGACCUCCUCUGGCAGUUUGUACAGGUUGUAUGCGCGCUAUGGCGGUACCGGGUUCUUUUUGUGAUAGAGUUGGGAAAGCACACAGUGCGAGAAGGACGGAGCAGCAACAUGAGUGAUGGAAGUCCACAAGUCAACUGACUCCAAAGUCGUCGCAUCUGCAGAUCACUUUCAAUAUACGCGAAUGUCGUUGCACAAUCUACACAGUUGCUACCACAGUACAUGCCUUCCUCCUCUGUCCGCUUUCCUGCUUUCCACCUUUGUGCACGAUGCGACUCACUGUCGCACACUUUCAGUCGCACAUACAGCAUAGAUAGCGCACAGGGACGAUGUUAUUGCCCUUGGACUUCAUACGGUAGAUCGCAGCGACCAUGAUGGCAGAAAUACGUAAAAUAUCAUGCUUGCGCAUGACCUGCAUUCAGGAAGUGAAAUGUCAUCGUAUUGUUUUUUUUAUUUAAGUUGCUUACCAACUGAACUGGUGCAUCUUAUACACUGGUGCAACUCAUACACUAUUUUGUUAAGAAAAACUGCCGUUUUGAGGGGGGUGCGAUUUAUAGAAAAGUGACCUAUACAUUGGAAAAUUCAUAUUCAGCAAAUGUUUGGUCUAAUCUGAAAUUACAAUCAGUAUUUCUUCAGUGAAGAAAAAAGCAAUUGUCAGUAUUAGUAUGUUGAGUUUUUUCAUUGGCAUUUCAUAAUUAAAAUUUUGUUUUCAAAUCAAAAGCAUUACUAUGGUAACCUGUUCUAAUUUGUUUUUGCAGCAUCGAGGCCUUCCAGCUGUCAAGCUGCAAUUACGAAAAGUGACAAGUCACCUGAGGGACGCCGUCACCACUGUAACUUCUGUGACUAUAAGACUGAUACAUGGAAGACUUCCAGCUAUCAAGCUGCAACUAUGAAAGGUGACAAGUCACAUCAGGGAUGCCGCCACCACUGUAACUUCUGUGACUAUAAGACUGAUAAUGUAUGUCAUCUGAAAAGACACAACAUGCGUCAUACAGGCGAGCGGCCGUUUGAAUGCCAUUUGUGCCCUCAGAGAUUCUCACGAAAGUACAAUCUCAAGGUACACCUGCGCACUCACAAUGGGGAGAGGCCAUUUCAGUGCCCUUCAUGCGCUCGGAGCUUCUCACUUAAGCGCAAUCUUACUGAUCACCUGCGUAUCCACACAGGCGAGAGGCCAUUUCAGUGCCCUUCAUGCCCUCGGAGCUUCUCACUUAAGCGCAAUCUUACUGAUCACCUGCGUAUCCACACAGGCGAGAGGCCACUUCAUUGCCACUUAUGCCUUAAGACCUUUAUAUUUAAAAGCAACCUAAAUAAGCACCUCAGCCAUCACAAGGGCAAGUGACCCUUUCAAUGCUAGUUCUGCUUUCAGAGCGUUUUUGUAAACAGCACAUUUUUCUUCUCAUUCUACAACACUUUGCAAAUGUUAAAGAAGUUGUGUAAGACAAAUGUCAAGCUGUGGGUCUAGUAUCAAAGGUAUGCCUUUAUCAUUACCACUUGAGUAUUCUUAUACAUGUAAUAAACUUCUGCAAUGUUGACUGUGCUGUUAGUGUGCAUGCAUGGCUUCAUGCUAUUCUGUGAUAGCACUUGCUUAUGCAUGCACCGAGUUUACUUGAUUGUAUUUGUCUGAUUUUGAUGGGUGGCUAUUAAGAGGCAACUGCCACAAAAUAAACGAUCCUUGAUCUGGCAGCCUA